CGAACGGUGAAGCCCAGCUUGCUGGGUGGAUCAGUGGCGAACGGGUGAGUAACACGUGAGCAACCUGCCCCUGACUCUGGGAUAAGCGCUGGAAACGGCGUCUAAUACUGGAUAUUUGCUUCCACCGCAUGGUGGGGGUUGGAAAGAUUUUUUGGUUGGGGAUGGGCUCGCGGCCUAUCAGCUUGUUGGUGAGGUAAUGGCUCACCAAGGCGUCGACGGGUAGCCGGCCUGAGAGGGUGACCGGCCACACUGGGACUGAGACACGGCCCAGACUCCUACGGGAGGCAGCAGUGGGGAAUAUUGCACAAUGGGCGGAAGCCUGAUGCAGCAACGCCGCGUGAGGGAUGACGGCCUUCGGGUUGUAAACCUCUUUUAGCAAGGAAGAAGCUUUCGGGUGACGGUACUUGCAGAAAAAGCGCCGGCUAACUACGUGCCAGCAGCCGCGGUAAUACGUAGGGCGCAAGCGUUAUCCGGAAUUAUUGGGCGUAAAGAGCUCGUAGGCGGUUUGUCGCGUCUGCUGUGAAAUCCCGAGGCUCAACCUCGGGCCUGCAGUGGGUACGGGCAGACUAGAGUGCGGUAGGGGAGAUUGGAAUUCCUGGUGUAGCGGUGGAAUGCGCAGAUAUCAGGAGGAACACCGAUGGCGAAGGCAGAUCUCUGGGCCGUAACUGACGCUGAGGAGCGAAAGGGUGGGGAGCAAACAGGCUUAGAUACCCUGGUAGUCCACCCCGUAAACGUUGGGAACUAGUUGUGGGGUCCUUUCCACGGAUUCCGUGACGCAGCUAACGCAUUAAGUUCCCCGCCUGGGGAGUACGGCCGCAAGGCUAAAA
rnacentral:rRNA from 1 species